rnacentral:rRNA from 1 species
AGUGAACGCUGGCGGUAGGCCUAACACAUGCAAGUCGAACGGCAGCACAGUAAGAGCUUGCUCUUACGGGUGGCGAGUGGCGGACGGGUGAGGAAUACAUCGGAAUCUACUUUUUCGUGGGGGAUAACGUAGGGAAACUUACGCUAAUACCGCAUACGACCUACGGGUGAAAGCAGGGGAUCUUCGGACCUUGCGCGAUUGAAUGAGACGAUGUCGGAUUAGCUAGUUGGCGGGGUAAAGGCCCACCAAGGCGACGAUCCGUAGCUGGUCUGAGAGGAUGAUCAGCCACACUGGAACUGAGACACGGUCCAGACUCCUACGGGAGGCAGCAGUGGGGAAUAUUGGACAAUGGGCGCAAGCCUGAUCCAGCCAUACCGCGUGGGUGAAGAAGGCCUUCGGGUUGUAAAGCCCUUUUGUUGGGAAAGAAAAGCAGCAGGUUAAUACCCCGCUGUUCUGACGGUACCCAAAGAAUGAGCACCGGCUAGCUUCGUG